rnacentral:rRNA from 1 species
AUACGGAGGGUGCAAGCGUUAUUGGGAAUCACUGGGCGUAAAGGGCGCGCAGGCGGUUUGGUAAGUCAGAUGUGAAAGCCCACGGCUCAACCGUGGAAGUGCAUUUGAAACUGUCAGACUUGAGUACUAGAGGGGAAAGUGGAAUUCCCGGUGUAGAGGUGAAAUUCGUAGAUAUCGGGAGGAAUACCGGUGGCGAAGGCGACUUUCUGGCUAGAUACUGACGCUGAGGCGCGAAAGCGUGGGGAGCAAACAGGAUUAGAUACCCUAGUAGUCC